UACGAACUGUGCAAACGUUAUUCGGAAUCACUGGGCUUAAAGGGCGCGUAGGCGGCUUGCCAAGUCGGGGGUGAAAUACUUCAGCUUAACUGGAGAAGUGCCUUCGAUACUGGCGGGCUUGAGGGAGGUAGGGGUCUUUGGAACUUCUGGUGGAGCGGUGAAAUGCGUUGAUAUCAGGAGGAACACCGGUGGCGAAGGCGGGUCUCUGGGCCGAUACUGACGCUGAGGAGCGAAAGCGUGGGGAGCGAACAGG
rnacentral:rRNA from 1 species